UACGUAGGGGGCAAGCGUUGUCCGGAUUUAUUGGGCGUAAAGAGCGUGUAGGCGGCCAGGUAGGUCAGCUGUGAAAACUCGAGGCUCAACCUCGAGACGCCGGUUGAAACCAUCUGGCUAGAGUCCGGAAGAGGAGAGUGGAAUUCCCGGUGUAGCGGUGAAAUGCGCAGAUAUCGGGAGGAACACCAAUGGCGAAGGCAGCUCGCUGGGACGGUACUGACGCUGAGACGCGAAAGCGUGGGGAGCAAACAGG
rnacentral:rRNA from 1 species